GAUGAAGAACGUAGCGAAAUGCGAUAAGUAGUGUGAAUUGCAGAAUUCAGUGAAUCAUCGAAUCUUUGAACGCACAUUGCGCCCUUUGGUAUUCCAAAGGGCAUGCCUGUUCGAGCGUCAUUUGUACCCUCAAGCACGGCUUGUGUGUUGGGCUUCCGUCCCUGGCAACGGGGACGGGCCCAAAAGGCAGUGGCGGCACCAUGUCUGGUCCUCGAGCGUAUGGGGCUUUGUCACCCGCUCCCGUAGGUCCAGCUGGCAGCUAGCCUCGCAACCAAUCUUUUUAACCAGGUUGACCUCGGAUCAGGUAGGGAUACCCGCUGAACUUAAGCAUAUCAAUAAGCGGAGGA
rnacentral:misc_RNA from 1 species